rnacentral:rRNA from 1 species
GUGGUUCCAAGAAAAGCCUCUAAGCUUCAGUCAUACGAGACCGUACCGCAAACCGACACAGGUGGGCGAGAUGAGUAUUCUAAGGCGCUUGAGAGAACUCGGGAGAAGGAACUCGGCAAAUUGGUACCGUAACUUCGGGAAAAGGUACGCCCUUGUAGUUUGACCACUUUACUGUGGAAGGAUGAACGGGUUGCAAUAAACUGGUGGCUGCGACUGUUUAAUAAAAACACAGCACUCUGCAAACACGAAAGUGGACGUAUAGGGUGUGACGCCUGCCCGGUGCCGG